CACGUAGGGUGCGAGCGUUGUCCGGAAUGAUUGGGCGUAAAGCGUCUGUAGGUGGCUUUUCAAGUCCGCCGUCAAAUCCCAGGGCUCAACCCUGGACAGGCGGUGGAAACUACCAAGCUGGAGUACGGUAGGGGCAGAGGGAAUUUCCGGUGGAGCGGUGAAAUGCAUUGAGAUCGGGAAGAACACCAACGGCGAAAGCACUCUGCUGGGCCGACACUGACGCUGAGAGACGAAAGCUAGGGGAGCAAAUGGG
rnacentral:rRNA from 1 species